AUCGAACGCUGGCGGCAGGCCUAACACAUGCAAGUCGAGCGAGCGGCGGACGGGUGAGUAAUGUCUGGGUAACCGCCUGAUGUAGGGGGAUAACUCCUGGAAACGGUAGCCAAUACCGCAUACCAUCAGAUGUGCCCAGAUGGGAUGAGCUAGUAGGUGGGGUAACGGCCCACCUAGGCGACGAUCCCGAGCUGGUCUGAGAGGAUGACCAGCCACACUGGAACUGAUGCACGGGCCAGACGCCUAAGGGAGGCAGCGGUGGGGAAUGUUGGACAAUGGGCGCAAGGCGGAUUCGGCCAUGCCGCGGGUGUGAAGAAGGCGUUCGGGUUGUAAGGCACGUACAGCGGGGAGGCGUUACCCGCAGAAGAAGCACCGGCUAACUCCGUGCCAGCAGCCGCGGUAAUAC
rnacentral:rRNA from 1 species